AACGAACGCUGGCGGCAGGCUUAACACAUGCAAGUCGAACGCAUCGCAAGAUGAGUGGCAGACGGGUGAGUAACGCGUGGGAACAUACCCUUUUCUACGGAAUAGCUCUGGGAAACUGGAAUUAAUACCGUAUACGCCCUACGGGGGAAAGAUUUAUCGGGGAAGGAUUGGCCCGCGUUGGAUUAGCUAGUUGGUGGGGUAAAGGCCUACCAAGGCGACGAUCCAUAGCUGGUCUGAGAGGAUGAUCAGCCACAUUGGGACUGAGACACGGCCCAAGCUCCUACGGGAGGCAGCAGUGGGGAAUAUUGUACAAUGGGCGCAAGCCUGAUCCAGCCAUGCCGCGUGAGUGAUGAAGGCCUUAGGGUUGUAAAGCUCUUUCACCGAUGAAGAUAAUGACGGUAGUCGGAGAAGAAGCCCCGGCUAACUUCGUGCCAGCCGCCGCAGUAAUAC
rnacentral:rRNA from 1 species